GGAAGCUUUCCAAGCUUUAGUAGCGGACGGGUGAGUAACGCGUGAGAAUUUACCUCUAGGAGGGGAACAACAGUUAGAAAUGACUGCUAAUGCCCCAUAUGCUUUAAUAGUGAAAUGGAUUUAUUCGCCUGGAGAGAAGCUCGCGUCUGAUUAGCUAGUUGGUGAGGUAACGGCUCACCAAGGCGACGAUCAGUAGCUGGUUUGAGAGGAUGAUCAGCCACACUGGAACUGAGACACGGUCCAGACUCCUACGGGAGGCAGCAGUGGGGAAUUUUCUGCAAUGGGCGAAAGCCUGACAGAGCAAUACCGCGUGAGGGAUGAAGGCUCGUGGGUCGUAAACCUCUUUUAUCAGGGAGGAAGUUCUGACGUGUACCUGAUGAAUAAGCAUCGGCUAACUCCGUGCCAGCAGCCGCGGUAAGACGGAGGAUGCAAGUGUUAUCCGGAAUCACUGGGCGUAAAGCGUCUGUAGGUGGUUUAGUAAGUCUAUUGUUAAAUCUUGAGGCUCAACUUCAAAUCAGCAAUGGAAACUGCUAGACUCGAGUAUGGUAGAGGUAAGGGGAAUUUCCAGUGGAGCGGUGAAAUGCGUAGAUAUUGGAAAGAACACCGAUGGCGAAGGCACCUUACUGGGCCAUUACUGACACUCAGAGACGAAAGCUAGGGUAGCAAAUGGGAUUAGAUACCCCAGUAGUCCUAGCAGUAAACGAUGGAUACUAGAUGUUGCCCGUAUCAACCCGUGCAGUGUCAAAGCUAACGCGUWNAGUAUCCCGCCUGGGA
rnacentral:rRNA from 1 species